UUUGUAAAAGUAAAACUGGGUAAUCGCUCUACCAACGAUGAGCGAUUCUUCGUUUACCAACAGUAUCUUCGCGAGCACUUGGAUAUCAAAGCGGUUUUCUUUACAGGUUUUUUUAAGAAAUUUGGAAAAAAGCUGGGACAAAAAGUUCAUAUCGAAAGUUAGAUAUUUCCGAUGUUUAUUUUCGAAUGAAUCCCUUUGAAUUAGUAAGAGUAAUUGGAAACCGGUUAUAUAUCGGUCAGGACAGGGGACAAAAUAUGCGUUCUAAUCUCUGGAUGAAGUUCAGAUUUAACUGGUGUGUGACUGAAGAAGCUAAUAAAAAAGUUCUUGAGCGAAUACAAACUCAUAAGCAGGUUUAUAAUGCAGGAAUUAUAGGUGGUUACACAGCAAUGAUACUCCCGUUUUUAAGUAAAGUGACUGCUUACUUGAAUAAAUU